UAGGUAUUAUAAAUAAUGCAAGUAUGGGGCAAGAUUAACUCAAGCUUUCAGACAUUUUCCCUUUUCAGCUUUCAUUGGUGUGGCCUAGCUGUUUUCUCAAUGAGAAAGCCUUCAUCUCUGCAAAGCGCACUUUUGCGCUUUGGGGUUCCCUUGUUGCUUGUUAUCACCUUCUGUUAUGCUACUUCUACUGCUGCAGCAACAACUCAAGUUUCAGGGAAUGAAGAGCUGCCAAAGACAAACCUAAAUGGGCAUGAUGAAGAAGCAAAAUUCGGAUUUUUUCAUCAUAAACCAAUAUUCAAGAAACAUAUUCCAAUUCCAGUAUAUAAACCUGUACCAAAGCCAUUUCCAGUGUAUAAACCUAUACCAAAGCCAGUUCCAGUUCCAGUGUACAAGCCUAUUCCAAAGCCAGUGUAUAAGCCUAUUCCAAAGCCAGUUCCAGUGUACAAGCCUAUACCAAAGCCAGUUCCAGUUCCAGUGUAUAAGCCUAUUCCAAAGCCAGUGUACAAGCCUAUUCCGAAGCCAGUGUAUAAGCCUAUUCCAAAGCCAGUUCCAGUGUACAAGCCUAUACCAAAGCCAGUUCCAGUUCCAGUGUAUAAGCCUAUUCCAAAGCCAGUGUACAAGCCUAUUCCGAAGCCAGUGUAUAAGCCUAUUCCAAAGCCAGUUCCAGUGUAUAAGCCUAUUCCAAAGCCAGUUCCAGUGUAUAAGCCUAUUCCAAAACCAGUGUACAAGCCUAUUCCAAAGCCAGUUCCCGUGUAUAAGCCUAUACCAAAGCCAGUUCCCAUUUAUAAGCCAAUUCCCAUUUUUAAGCCAAUACCGAAACCAGUUCCCAUUUAUAAGCCAAUUCCCAUUUUUAAGCCAGUACCGAAACCAGUUCCCAUUUAUAAGCCAAUUCCAAUUUUUAAGCCAGUACCAACACCAAUUCCUUUUUUUAAGCCUAUACCAAAGCCUGUUCCUAUUGUUAAACCUAUUCCUAUUCCAGUUUUUAAACCCAUACCUAAACCAUUUCCAAUUGUUAAACCUAUCCCUUAAGCCAAAGUCAUUUUUUAAGCCAGAGACUUUCUUCAGAAAACCUAUUCCUAAACUUCACCCAAAUCUGAUAAAGCACGGUCUUCUACAUUUUCCAAUUCACAAUACAAUUCCUACAAUUUCAACUCCAUAAGAUGAUUUGGCCGUGUCCUAUAAAAUUAUUGUACUUAGAACGUUAUCCCAUUCUAUUUCCAAUAUAGCUACGUUUGUUCUAAAACAUCAACGGGGUUUCUGUAGAAAUCCUAUCGUACUCUUGUGCAUUGUAUUAGAAUAUAUGCAGUUCAUUUGCCUCAAUAAUCUUCUCAGCAUUGCCGUUGUAAAUUGAUUUGUAUGUAUUAUUCCAAGAAUAGAACUAAUUCUCUAUUUUUGGUUUAAAUAAUAUUUGUAUUUCCUUUCAA